CGCAAACGCAACGAUCCCCCUAAUACGGAGGGGUCUCCCCAUCGGCAGCGAGGAUGGCCACCGUUUCUUUUCACCGCAAGAUAAAUUAAUCGCAGAGUUCUGCAGAAUGGUCGAGUCCUUUCUGGGUGGACGAUGAGUUGAUGCCCAGUCUUCUACAACUGUACAAAGUAGCUGGUAGCUGGUACGUCGGGCAGGAGGUUGGCCCUGAGCAGCAUUCUGAAUUGUCUUCAAAGGGAGGUAUGUACUGUGUAGAUAAAUAUUUCCUAUCAAAGAGUAGUAAGAUUAAGAUUCUAGCUUGUGUACUGAAUUCACCUACUAUUACAGUUUUUUUUUUUUUUUUUUUUUUUUUUUU